CCGGUAAACGGCGGCCGUAACUAUAACGGUCCUAAGGUAGCGAAAUUCCUUGUCGGGUAAGUUCCGACCUGCACGAAUGGCGUAAUGAUGGCCAGGCUGUCUCCACCCGAGACUCAGUGAAAUUGAACUCGCUGUGAAGAUGCAGUGUACCCGCGGCAAGACGGAAAGACCCCGUGAACCUUUACUAUAGCUUGACACUGAACAUUGAGCCUUGAUGUGUAGGAUAGGUGGGAGGCUUUGAAGUGUGGAC
rnacentral:rRNA from 1 species